UCCGGUUUGUCACCGGCAGUCUGAAGUGAGUCCCAACUUAAUGCUGGCAACACUUCACGGGGGUUGCGCUCGUUGCGGGACUUAACCCAACAUCUCACGACACGAGCUGACGACAACCAUGCACCACCUGUCACCGCUGUCCCCGAAGGGAAAGCCCAGUCUCCUGGGCGGGCAGCGGGAUGUCAAGACCUGGUAAGGUUCUUCGCGUUGCUUCGAAUUAAACCACAUGCUCCACCGCUUGUGCGGGCCCCCGUCAAUUCCUUUGAGUUUCAGCCUUGCGGCCGUACUCCCCAGGCGGUCAA
rnacentral:misc_RNA from 1 species